GAUGAACGCUGGCGGCGUGCCUAAUACAUGCAAGUCGAGCGAACAGACGAGGAGCUUGCUUCUCUGACGUUAGCGGCGGACGGGUGAGUAACAUGUGGAUAACCUACCUAUAAGACUGGGCUAACUUCGGGAAACCGGAGCUAAUACCGGAUAAUAUAUUGAACCGCAUGGUUCAAUAGUGAAAGCCGGUUUUGCUGUAACUGAUAGAUGGAUCCGCGCCGCAUUAGCUAGUUGGUAAGGUAACGGCGUACCAAGGCAGCGAUGCGUAGCCGACCUGAGAGGGUGAUCGGCCACACUGGAACUGAGACACGGUCCAGACUCCUACGGGAGGCAGCAGUAGGGAAUCUUCCGCAAUGGGCGAAAGCCUGACGGAGCAGCGCCGCGUGAGUGAUGAAGGUCUUCGGAUCGUAAAACUCUGUUAGUAGGGAAGAACAAAUGUGUAAGUAACUAUGCUCGUCUUGACGGUACCUGCACAGAAAGCCACGGCUAACUACGUG
rnacentral:rRNA from 1 species